CUGGUUCCCUGGAGGAGAAGAUGAGUGAGUGGGAAAGCAAAGCCGCGGGCCCGGUGAGGAGGAGUCGAGGCGGAGAAGACAGGCGCACAGUCCCUGAAUUAAGGAAGCUCUCCGUCUCUUCACAGGUCUGAUGAGAAUGGUCGGCGGAGCGAGGCCUGAUUCCCGCACACAAUGACGCAGUCACUGCACAUUACGCCGAGACUCGCUGAAAGUCCACAUUUGCAGUGCGGGCUAACGACGCCAUUGUACCUGCCUGUACUAUGACUUACUAAGACCCACUAUGAGCCAGUAUGGAGGAGCUUCCAGUUCAUCCAUACGGACCUUGCAUCAGCAUUGAGGAGUUCAGGAGUCGGCAGAGAAGAAAGAGGCUGAUUGAAGCGGGACAGAUGACAUGGAUCCAUCCUUCCACAGCCAGGAGCUCACCGACCUGUGUGCCACACUUCAAAUAAGACUAGAGGCUACACUGGAUCUCACAGCUACACACGACAGACGUCAGAUUCGGACAGAGUCCCACAAAGAACAUAUGACCCAGAGGCUGCAAAGAGACAUUUCAAGCUUCACCUGAUUAGCUUUUCACUGGUUGGCUAGUUGUGUUUGUACAAUAUUUGUGCUGUAUGUAAAUAA